rfam:Tepidibacillus sp. Z9 scaffold00001, whole genome shotgun sequence.
GAUAUUAAGCAGAAGCGCCCGCUUCUCACCUGAUCGACAUGGGGUUGACAGGUUCAUAUGGUCGGUGAAUCAAUGAUAGUGUGGGCGCGUGGCGUCUACACUUUUUUGCUUUU